rnacentral:rRNA from 1 species
UAAUACGAAAGGUGCAAGCGUUACUCGGAAUUACUGGGCGUAAAGCGCGCGUAGGUGGUCUUGUAUGUCGAUUGUGAAAGCCCAGGGCUCAACCCUGGAAUAGCAGCCGAAACUGCAAGACUUGAAUGUUGGAGAGGGUGGGGGAAUACCUAGUGGAGAAGUGAAAUUCGUAGAGAUUAGGUGGAACACCAGAGGCGAAGGCGCCUACCUGGCCAAACAUUGACGCUGAGGCGCGAAAGUGCGGGGAGCAAACAGGAUUAGAUACCCUGGUAGUCCGCACCGUAAACGAUGGACACUAGCCGUUCGAAGCAUUAACCCUUUGAGUGGCGAAGCUAACGCAUUAAGUGUCCCGCCUGGGAAGUACGGUCGCAAGACUA